rnacentral:rRNA from 1 species
AGAACCUUACCAAGGCUUGACAUAUACCGGAAAGCAUCAGAGAUGGUGCCCCCCUUGUGGUCGGUAUACAGGUGGUGCAUGGCUGUCGUCAGCUCGUGUCGUGAGAUGUUGGGUUAAGUCCCGCAACGAGCGCAACCCUUGUUCUGUGUUGCCAGCAUGCCCUUCGGGGUGAUGGGGACUCACAGGAGACUGCCGGGGUCAACUCGGAGGAAGGUGGGGACGACGUCAAGUCAUCAUGCCCCUUAUGUCUUGGGCUGCACACGUGCUACAAUGGCCGGUACAAUGAGCUGCGAUGCCGCGAGGCGGAGCGAAUCUCAAAAAGCCGGUCUCAGUUCGGAUUGGGGUCUGCAACUCGACCCCAUGAAG